rnacentral:rRNA from 1 species
AUUGAACGCUGGCGGCAGGCCUAACACAUGCAAGUCGAGCGGCAGCACGGGAAGCUUGCUUCCUGGUGGCGAGCGGCGGACGGGUGAGUAAUGCAUAGGAAUCUGCCCGGUAGUGGGGGAUAACCUGGGGAAACCCAGGCUAAUACCGCAUACGUCCUACGGGAGAAAGCAGGGGCUCUUCGGACCUUGCGCUAUCGGAUGAGCCUAUGUCGGAUUAGCUGGUUGGUGAGGUAAUGGCUCACCAAGGCGACGAUCCGUAGCUGGUCUGAGAGGAUGAUCAGCCACAUCGGGACUGAGACACGGCCCGAACUCCUACGGGAGGCAGCAGUGGGGAAUAUUGGACAAUGGGCGCAAGCCUGAUCCAGCCAUGCCGCGUGUGUGAAGAAGGCCCUCGGGUUGUAAAGCACUUUCAGUGGGGAAGAAAGCCUUCUGGUUAAUACCCGGGAUGAAAGACAUCACCCACAGAAGAAGCACCGGCUAACUCCGUGCCAGCAGCCGCGGUAAUACGGAGGGUGCGAGCGUUAAUCGGAAUUACUGGGCGUAAAGCGCGCGUAGGUGGCUUGAUAAGCCGGUUGUGAAAGCCCCGGGCUCAACCAGGGAACGGCAUCCGGAACUGUCAGGCUAGAGUGCAGGAGAGGAAGGUAGAAUUCCCGGUGUAGCGGUGAAAUGCGUAGAGAUCGGGAGGAAUACCAGUGGCGAAGGCGGCCUUCUGGACUGACACUGACACUGAGGGGCGAAAGCGUGGGUAGCAAACAGGAUUAGAUACCCUGGUAGUCCACGCCGUAAACGAUGUCGACUAGCCGUUGGGUCCUUCGCGGACUUUGUGGCGCAGUUAACGCUAUAAGUCGCCCGCCUGGGGAGUACGGCCGCAAGUUUAAAACUCAAAUGAAUUGACGGGGGCCCGCACAAGCGGUGGAGCAUGUGGUUUAAUUCGAUGCAACGCGAAGAACUUUACCUACCCUUGACAUCCUCGGAAUCCGUCAAGAUGGCGGAGUGCAUUCGGGAACCGAGAGACAGGUGCUGCAUGGCUGUCGUCAGCUCGUGUUGUGAAAUGUUGGGUUAAGUCCCGUAACGAGCGCAACCCUUGUCCCUAUUUGCCAGCGAUUCGGUCGGGAACUCUAGGGAGACUGCCGGUGACAAACCGGAGGAAGGUGGGGACGACGUCAAGUCAUCAUGGGCCUUACGGGUAGGGCUACACACGUGCUACAAUGGUCAGUACAAAGGGUUGCGAACUUGCGAGAGUGAGCCAAUCCCAGAAAGCUGAUCUCAGUCCGGAUCGGAGUCUGCAACUCGACUCCGUGAAGUCGGAAUCGCUAGUAAUCGUGAAUCAGAAUGUCACGGUGAAUACGUUCCCGGGCCU